rnacentral:lncRNA from 1 species
AUCUUCUAGGUAUCACUCCUAUCCUUGGGGGACGAAGAAUCACCCAACCAAAAGAUGAAAAUGUUGCACUUUGAAUGAACUUACUUUUCCCAGUAAAGUUCAAGUUCUGGACAUCAGCUACUACAACAAGAUGCUGAGGACCGGAUUUUGCUAGAAGGGUGUGGAAGGGGAGAGACCAAAAUGCCAUGGGGCCAGGAGCACCUUUCUUCUGCAGGGCCUGUGUGGGAUGUAUGAUAGCUAUAGCUCUUGGGUAGGGGGCUCCAUUCCCAGUACGUAUUAUAUACAAGAUGACAGGGCUGUCAAUGUUGCUCCUGGAAGAAAAUGCUGCAAAAGUCAUCUGUGUGGGGGAACCCCCUGUCACAGACAGAACUUUCCUCUGAGUUGGAAAAAAAAAAUGACAUAUUUUUCAAAGGAACAUUUUAUACUCAGGAUGGCUGAAACUAUGUUGAAAGGCAUCUAGCCUUUCAUAUAUAAAAAAUAAUUUUAGAUAAACAAAACUAUAGGACCUAGAAUGAUAUAUUGGGUGAUUGAUUCAUGGUAUCCUCUAAUUUUUUUUAAUCUUAAAAAAGAAAUUUAAAAUAUGUGAUUUUUUUUUUUUAAUGAAAGAAUUUGUUUUCUCUUAACCACUUGGGUGCUAGUGAUCUUGAGCCAUGACACAGUGUAGACAGUAUUUAAAAACCUUGCACAGCACCUGGACAUAAUGCAAAUUGUCAGAUUUCAGUUAGAGUAAUAGAAUACGUGGAUUGCUGGCCCUGUUCUAUGUGGCCAUCUCUAGGAGAGGGAGGGAGGGAGGUUUUGAUUAGACUAAUGCUUUGCUGCUAAUCAAACUUAUAGUGUUUUUAGAGCACUUUGAGGAGUUCAUAGAAUCUAUGAAGCAGAAGCAAUAUUUCUAAGUCCCUUUUAUUAAAAUUAUCUGCAUUUUAAGUAAAUGUUUAUUGUUUGAUAAUUUGAAAUGAAAACAAGUUAUAUAAUAAACACAAAUUCCUUCUCUACUCCUUGAAACUGCCCAAAGAAAGAAAAAUCAGAAUGCCAAACAGUGUCCCAUCUCUAUGUAGGAAGAAUUUUUGAUGAGAGUUUAAUCUUAUUGAGUUAAAACUCCUUCUCUGCAGCUGGCUUAAAAUUUUGUUGUAAUGUCAAGAAAUCCCAUAUUGCCAAAUCAAAUUGCACUUCUACCUACUUAAAGUACAAUCCAUUCUAUAUAAUUAGUAAUCUGGAAGCUGAAAUUGUACUUUUUAUUUACUUGAGUUCUGUUCUCUUUAACUGCACUGAUAUAUUUUUAGUAUGAUUGAAUAGUUUGAAUAGUAUGAUUUAGUAUGAUUUUUCAAUGCAUUUACAGUUGUUGAAACCUAAUCUGACCUUUUGGAUAUGUAAAAUCGCCUAAUGGAAAUCUAUACUAUUUUUCAAUUAGUAUGUUUAACACUUAAAUUAUGUUCAAAUGCCUUUUAAUCAUGCAGCAGUGCCUUUGAAAAUUGCCAACAAAAUCUUUUUUUGUCAAGCCAAAUUAAUAACUAAAACACUAAUUUUUAAAUAGUAGAUAAAAAUACGGUACCAAAAACUUUCACUUUCAGCUUUCAAACUAAUUCCAUCCAUAUGUGAAAUACACAUGGAAAACACAAAUUUUAAUGAUUUGCCCAGGCAAAUUUGUAUAUGUUUCAACUUAAUGUGACCCUUUAUUAUCAUUCUUUUUAUUUUUUAAUAUGUGGGAAGGGGCACAUUUCAUUUUACAGGAGGCACAGGCCUAGAGGGGCAUAAAUUCUAAUUGUCACAGAAGCUGUGGGGUCAAAGUUUAAGCAAUCAGGUUCUUACUUGAAUGGCAAUAUAUGCAAACACAGUUUAGAAAAGAAUAGUAUUCAGAAAUCAGACCUUGGUGAGAGAAACACAUGAUUCAUUUAAGGUGUUUUAAAAUGCAUGCAGUUGACCUUAUUGAUUAGAAAGGGAGCAAUAUGUUUCUUUUAGGCCACAGGUAUUCCAUUUAUUAUGCUAGAAGCCUGUCAGAGUUAACACAAAUAAGCGAAUAAAUGUCUUUUUCAACAGGGUUUCAGGCUCAUCAACCAUGCUGAUAGAUGUACUGUUUUACUAAAAUAAUGAAUGUGCUCUGUUUGAAUUUUCCCUUAAGCUACCACAAUGACUGCAUUCACAUUUUCCCAGUUGCAUGACCAGGUCUCUAAGAAUAUUGGGCACUGGCAAGGGGACCAUUUCCACAUGGAGCCACAUCCUCACGUUCCAACCUUCAGCCAAGAAGCAUCUCCCCUCAUAAUAAAGCAAGAAUGGUCAUUUCCUUUGAUCCACAAAACGGUCUUCUGGUGCAAAGAAGUUGUUACUUGAGCUUACUUAAUAGGCUUCAUAAUCUUUUCUUGAUUGCAUUUAGUUUUUUUUUUCCUCUCAUAUAAUUUUUAAUGAUUUGUUGUGCAGUGAAAUCCCUGUGAAUUCAUUAAAUCUCUCUAAUUCCCAGUGACCAAAUACUUGCAGAGGACAGAAUUUGAAUCAGUCUCUUCAGAUAAGUUUUGAUACACAAGUGCUUCUGUUAAUUAUGUUUUGAUCCACCAGCUCUAUCUGAUUGUCUGUGCUUGAAACCUUAAUUUGCUUUUUAAAAGCAAAAUGUUCCGUUCUCAGGGAACUGCCUGCAGCAGGAUAUAUGCUUGCUGGUUUCUAACUUUGUCUUGUUCCACAUGUGUAGUCCUUAAAUGGAGAUCUCAGGAAUACUGAGUGACAUGGACACUUGGGCCCACUGCCUGUGGAUGAAUGUCAAGAAACCGGGAGAAAUGCUGCUGGUGUGGGACUGGGCAGUGUGCCCAGUGUGGGCAUUCUAAAACAGAGCCUAAUUAAGAAAUGCUGUUAUAAAAUAUACUCAAAUGAUAUAAUUAAUUAAGAGUUAAGGUCUUCCAAAUAGUACCAUCUCUAACUCAUUAAAUACUAUGAAAUUUUGAUAUUCACAAGCAACACAGGACUGGUAGAUUAUGUACAAUUCCUGCAAUGCCAUCAAUUAAUUGCCACUCAUAUUUAAGAUAUGUGAAGACAAUAAUGUUUAUCGGUCAGUCAAUUCUAUCAGUGUUAAUAUGCAUAGCACCCACAUUGCUCUUUUUGAUUUGCUAAGUUGCAAAAUUUGUUUAUUGCUUUUUCUCUCUUUCUGGAGGAUAUGUUGGGAGAAUGAUGAAGAAUCAGGCACAGUAAAUAUGCUGGGUUCCUAUAGGAAUGCCUUCAGCUUUUGUCUGAAGGCAGGAAAAUUUUUUCUAAAGGAACUUUCAUUGUUUACCUUUGUUUUUCUGUUUGUUUGUGUGUAUGGUGGUGGUACUCACGAGCAUCGGAUCAACUGGACAGGCAACACAAAGCAAACUGGGCUGAGAUAGCUUCCCAGUGCCCUAGAGAUACAGCUACAAGGGGCUCCUAAGCAAGGAAAGCUUAGGACUUGUCUUCUAGGUAGAAUUCUGUCCAAACAUGAAAUGCUUCCUGUUCAACAACUAAAUGUGAUAAUAAGUGUAUUUUGUGUAUACCUUUAUGAUAUUGUUCAGAUUGUAUUAAUUAUGCUGUGAUGGAAAGUGAGAUAAUUUUGGACAGAUUAUUUUUCCAAUAUUGAAAUGUGCUGCUGAUGUAUGCUUACCCUUGAAUGCUGUUUUUCAUAUUGAUGGGAAGACACAAAUGUCUCAGGGAAACAACUUUGUGAUGAAGUCAUUCUUAUGUGUGUCAUUACAGUUAAAAUGCACAUUGUAAAAAAUGACUGUUAUGGUUGAUCACAGUCCUGCUAUGAUGUUACUUCAAGAUUUGCCGGAGGGACAGGAAGGAUUUUAUGAUUUUGAUGGGGUGACGGAUGGAUAUUGCCAACGUACAUGUCCUGUGGGUCCAUGGGCAGUGGUGGUUGUUAAAAAUGAAGAUCACACACCCUAAAGUCACAGUAGAUGAGGAUGCACUAGGUGUUUUUUUUUUUUCACUAUACAUAUGCAGCAUUUGACUAAUCACAUAAAAAAUUCUUAAAUAUGUAUAGUCCAUUGAUUGUAUCCUGAAAGUAGAUGAACUCCACUGUAAUGGAAUCUGAAUGUGACUCCUCUAACGAGUGAGAAGCUGCCCUUUUUCUUUAUUAUUAUAAUGUGAAGCUUUCUUUGCGUUGUAUCCAGCUACUAUGUUUAAAAUAACAAAAGCAUGCUGUAGCAAUUAUUCAACUGUUUAAAUAUUGUUAUUUGGAGAUAGCUUACCUUUGUUUCCCCUGAACAAAGACAGAAGCUUUAUCUUUAUAGAAAAUUGUGGCUAACUUGCCAUUUUGACAAACAACGAAGAAGUCUGGGUGGAGGCUUGAAACUUUUGCAGAUAUGUGAAGAACUGUUCUGCAAAGUAAAUAGAGACAGGUGUGUACCAGAAAUAACAAACUGAGAGGAAGAAAUGCUUUAAGGCCACAAUACUUUUAAAUCAGACUAUGAAGGUUACUUAUAAAAUUAUAUUCUUAACCCAUGAUUUAGUUCCUACUUUUCAAGUUCCAUUAGAGUCAGGAUUCUAAAAAAGAACAUAAGGCUUGUGAAUGGCUGUUAAGGUUUAGCAAAAACCCUCUUCUCCCUGUUCUCUGUGUUUACUCCAUACUCUAGUGAAUUGGGAGGAAAUGGAGCUGGCGUAGGGUUCCUUGUGUCAUGAGAGAACAUGUAAAGUGUUUGUUUGUAUGAGCACAGCAUUACUUUGACACUGAGGGAAGUGAAUAAACAUUAAGACUCAGAAAGAAAAUCCCAAGUUGUUAAAGAAAAAAGAUCUUCCAAGGAAAUGGGAUAAAUCCCAAAUAAAAACUGUGCUUUGAAGUGAUUCCACCAGGUCUAGCAAUGCCCAGCAAGCCAUUCACUGAGAGGAGCAAUUGGCAAGGUCAAGUUAGUUUCUGGGUAGUUCCAGAAACUUGGGUGAUUCCUGCUGCUGGGUCUCCUGGAAGCAGCUGGCCAGAUCCUAGCAAGUUGACCACUUAGAACAAUAGCAGAAGCACCCCCAAGACUCCCCAGGAACAUGUUGGUGGAAGGCUUAAGACAGGGUCCUCUGAGGCAUUCUAAAAACAUCACAUACCUCCAAGAAGCAGUUGUUACUGUUUUGUUUGUUUCAGUGCUGGGGAUUGAAGCCAGGGCAUGGAGCAUGCUAAGUACAUGGUCUUCCACUAACCUAAUCCUCCAGCUCCCCCACCUGCCAAGUGCAGUCUUAUCUGCCUUUAAGUAAAUGUGGGUCUUCCCUGGGGGCUGUUUUCUUCUCAGUCUUGCAACCAUAGCCUCAGGCUUAUUUUGUCUGACAAUGGAAAUUUUAUAAGAAAUAUAUGUGAAAUUUAAAUGGACAAAUGCAGGCAGAUUUGAAUAUGCUUGCAUUAAGCUAGAUUAAAAAAGAAACACUGCAAGGUACACCAGUUGAUAAUUAGUACACCCUUUGAUAAUUAGGCCAUGGAAAAAUUUCAUCAUUUUACUCUUCCAAACUGGGAAACAAAAAACACGUAAAAGAAAAAUCUUUUGAGGGCAUUUUGCUUACUGACAUUUAGUGGAUCAAGACUGAAUUAUACUGCUUCCUGUAUUUUGUUGUUCCCAGUGGGCUGUUGGUGAGGAUCAAAAAGAAUGGAGCCAUCCUCUGAGAGGAAGCAAAGCCCCUAAUCUCUUGUUGCCCAGAGCAGCAUCUGUUUUCUGGAUGGCCCUGGGUCCAAGACAAAAAGACUUGUCCCUGCAGAAUGCAAAGACACUCUCAAUGUGCCUUCCUCCACUUUAGUCUCUAAGAUGGUAUUUUUGUUGUUAUUGUUGUUGUUGCACCAGCACCUCCUAGCCAGAUCCCUCCUGUCCUGCAAACCCUCAACCCCACUCCCAUCUAAGGAACAGACUAUUAAUUAUGUUUCCUACAGGUCACCUGUGUGUUUUCAGAUGGUGUGUUUGUAAUUCUAUAAUGGUGUGCAUGGGCAUGGAAGGCAGGGGGUGAUAUACUUCUCUGCACAGGAUUCCUGAUCGUAUCAAACCUCCCGACUCUCCUACUUGAACAGUUGAUUUUAACUUGACCAGAGUUGGAGACCCUGAAGAGAAAAGAAAGGAAAUGCCUCUAUAUAAGGAUGCAAAAGAUGCAAGCAACUGUUAUUUUUGCUAUUCCUUAAAUAUGCUCUGUAAAUGCUAAAGAAAAUUAAAAAUGUAUUUUCAAGUUACUGGAAAAUAAU